rnacentral:rRNA from 1 species
UACGUAGGGUGCGAGCGUUUGUCCGGAAUUACUGGGCGUAAAGAGCUCGUAGGUGGGUUUGUCGCGUUGUUCGUGAAAACCUGAGGCUUAACCUUGGGCGUGCGGGCGAUACGGGCAGACUGGAGUACUGCAGGGGAGACUGGAAUUCCUGGUGUAGCGGUGGAAUGCGCAGAUAUCAGGAGGAACACCGGUGGCGAAGGCGGGUCUCUGGGCAGUAACUGACGUGGAGGAGCGAAAAGCGUGGGGGAGCGAAACAGG